ensembl:lncRNA
AUGAAGGCAAUGAGGAGCACAAUAGCAGCCAUGCAUGAACUUUAUGCUCGUGCCCUGGGUGAUGGGACUUGCCAGCAAGCAGAGGAGAUGAGCCUUGAAGUGUGUGGCACCAUCAAUGAACUCCUCUCCCUUGAAGAAAAGAUAAAAGACGAUACCUUUAGGAAGAAAGUGACACAUCAUUUAAGCCUCGUUGGAGGUCCAAACCCUGGGGAGAACACCCGGCGGGUAAUGCGGGCAGUGGCCUCCUACGGCGUUUGGAAGGAAUUCAGCCUAAAGGGGAAAAAAGGGAAGAGACCACUCCAAAACCUGAUUAUUAUGAAAAUCAUAAUAAGUACGUACAAUAUGUCAGUGAAUCCAAAACAAUCAGUACUACCAGUACUUUUUGAAGUAUUGCUUCUUAAAGAUUAUUGGUUUUUAAUUAGCUUUAGUCAAAUGUAUUUGCAAUCAACUGUAACCAGCUGUCUUUAUGUUUACAAAAGUGUGAACCAAAUGGCCCAUAUAAUUAGCCUCUUAGGUCUAACUACUGCUCAGCCAAAUACAGCAAUAUCUAACACUUCAUAAUUAUGGGGCUUCAUUUUACAGAGGCAGUGAUGAGGUCCAAUCUUGGGAUCCAGCAAGCCAAAGUGGAAGACAUUGUAGCAGACACGCUAAAACAUGCUCCAGCAAGGUGUCAGAAUGUAAGCUUUUUUUAAAGUUCUAUCUUAAGGGUCCUAAAAUGUAGUUUUCGAGGUUUGAAAUGUGCUUAAGUUUUGAUUCUGUUGUUUGUAAGGAUGUUAGUGAUAUAUAUUUCAUGAUUAGCUGAACUUUUAAUAACUAAUUUCAUUUCUUUUUUUAAAGAGUGUCUUCUAAAUCGGCAAGUUAGAAGUUACCUGUAGCCUAAUUGGUGUGAAUGAAUGUACAUUAUGUCAUUAGUAGGGCUGGGCGAUAUGGGCAAAAAUUCAUAUCUCUGUAUUUUUUGGCCGGUUUACAAUAUACGGUAUAUAUCUCGGUAUUUUCUUUUUUGUAUUUAAAAAAAAAAUCUGUAUUUAAUAUAUAUAUAUAUAUACAGUAUAUAUAUAUAUAUAUAUAUAUAUACAGUAUUGAGAUAUAUAUAUCACUUACCACCCCGUGUUGUCCAACAAAACAAUACAUAUCAAAGGGUACAUAGUGAUUAAUGACUAACGUUAUCUACACGUGCAAUUCAACUUGCAACUGCUAGAUGACACGAUUAGCGUUAUCUCCGCUAUCACAUAGAAGACAUCAUUAUUAUACCUUUGACAUCUGACACUCAUAACAAAAGACAUAAGAUAUUAAGUGAAAGAUAUGAUUACUCACAUAUUUUGCAUAAACGCACAACAUCUCCGCGGGGCACAUGUGGAGGUGUUUCUCAUAUCGCGCCGUUAGCAACAACUGCAGUUCCAGGACCUUAUGACAUAAAGCCUAGCCCUAGCUAAAGUUUUAUUUAUUUAUUUAUUAAUAGCUAAUGAGUUAAUACUUGUUCAAAUCAAUGACUUCAUUAAUAUUUGUUGAAUAAUAUUUGAAUUUAAUCUAAACUACACUUUAUUAUUAUAUAGAGUAUGAUUAAUAUAUUUUAUACAUAGCCUACUAUAAAAUGUGUUGCUUAUGUCAGACACCCAGUUUGAAUUAUAUCGAUUAUCUGAAUCUUACAUUUCUUUUCAAAAAAUGAAAAAGUCACACAAUUAUUUUUCAUACUGUGCUUUUAGCCAAACCAUUAUUUUUUUUACCCCAAAUGUCAAACUUUUACAUAUUUUUCAGUCAUAAACAAACUAAUAAACUCUCUGCCCUGCUCUCA